GCCAGGUGUGGUGGCACACACCUGUAAUCCCAGCUACUCUGGAGGCUGAGGCAGGAGAAUAGUUUGAACCCGGGAGGCAGAGGUUUCAGUGAGCCAAGAUCACGCCAUUGCACUCCAGCCUGGGCAACAAGAGCGAAACUCUGUCUCCAAUAUAUAUAUAUAUAGUUUGUUUGUUUGUUUUUUGUUUUUGAGAAAGAGUUUCAUUCUUAUUGCCCAGGCUGGAGUGCAAUGGCACGAUCUCAGCUCACUGCAACCUCUGCCUCCUGGGUUCAAGCGAUUCUCCUGCCUCAA
rfam:Pan troglodytes isolate Yerkes chimp pedigree #C0471 (Clint) chromosome 17, whole genome shotgun sequence.